CAGUAGCCGCGGGAAUACGUAGGGCGCAAGCGUUAUCCGGAAUUACGGGCGUAAAGCGUGCGUAGGCGGUUUGUUAAGUCUGUUGUGAAAUCCCCGGGCUCAACCUGGGAAUGGCAAUGGAUACUGGCAAGCUAGAGUGUGUCAGAGGAUGGUGGAAUUCCCGGUGUAGCGGUGAAAUGCGUAGAGAUCGGGAGGAACAUCAGUGGCGAAGGCGGCUAUCUGGGACAACACUGACGCUGAGGCACGAAAGCGUGGGGAGCAAACAGGAUUAGAUACCCCCGUAGUCCCUGUCUCUUAUACA
rnacentral:rRNA from 1 species